rnacentral:rRNA from 1 species
GAUGAACGCUGGCGGCGUGCCUAAUACAUGCAAGUCGAACGCUGGAGAUCUAGCUUGCUAGAUCGAAGGAGUGGCGAACGGGUGAGUAAUACAUAAGCAACCUACCCACGAAGACUGGGAUAAUCUCUGGAAACGGGGACUAAUACCGGAUAGGUAAUCGGAAGGCAUCUUCUGGUUAUUAAAGGUUAAAAACACUGGUGGAUGGGCUUAUGGCGCAUUAGUUAGUUGGUGAGGUAACGGCCCACCAAGACGAUGAUGCGUAGCCGGCCUGAGAGGGUGAACGGCCACAUUGGGACUGAGACACGGCCCAGACUCCUACGGGAGGCAGCAGUAGGGAAUUUUCGGCAAUGGGGGCAACCCUGACCGAGCAACGCCGCGUGAGUGAAGACGGCCUUCGGGUUGUAAAGCUCUGUUGUAAGGGAAGAACGGUAGAUAGAGAAUAUCUAAGUGACGGUACCUUACCAGAAAGCCACGGCUAACUACGUGCCAGCAGCCGCGGUAAUACGUAGGUGGCGAGCGUUAUCCGGAAUUAUUGGGCGUAAAGGGUGCGUAGGCGGCCUGUUAAGUAAGUGGUUAAAUUGUUGGGCUCAACCCAAUCCAGCCACUUAAACUGGCAGGCUAGAGUAUUGGAGAGGCAAGUGGAAUUCCAUGUGUAGCGGUAAAAUGCGUAGAUAUAUGGAGGAACACCAGUGGCAAAGGCGGCUUGCUAGCCAAAGACUGACGCUCAUGCACGAAAGCGUGGGGAGCAAAUAGG